GACGAACGCUGGCGGCGUGCUUAACACAUGCAAGUCGAACGGAAAGGCCCUGCUUUUGUGGGGUGCUCGAGUGGCGAACGGGUGAGUAACACGUGAGUAACCUGCCCUUGACUUUGGGAUAACUUCAGGAAACUGGGGCUAAUACCGGAUAGGAGCUCCUGCUGCAUGGUGGGGGUUGGAAAGUUUCGGCGGUUGGGGAUGGACUCGCGGCUUAUCAGCUUGUUGGUGGGGUAGUGGCUUACCAAGGCUUUGACGGGUAGCCGGCCUGAGAGGGUAACCGGCCACAUUGGGACUGAGAUACGGCCCAGACUCCUACGGGAGGCAGCAGUGGGGAAUAUUGCACAAUGGGCGGAAGCCUGAUGCAGCAACGCCGCGUGCGGGAUGACGGCCUUCGGGUUGUAAACCGCUUUCGCCUGUGACGAAGCGUGAGUGACGGUAAUGGGUAAAGGAGCACCGGCUAACUACGUG
rnacentral:rRNA from 1 species